rnacentral:rRNA from 1 species
UACGAAGGGUGCAAGCGUUAAUCGGAAUUACUGGGCGUAAAGCGUGCGCAGGCGGUCCGCAAAGUCUGAUGUGAAAGCCCCGGGCUCAACCUGGGAACUGCAUUGGAAACUAACGGGCUCGAGUGUGGCAGAGGGGGGUGGAAUUCCACGUGUAGCAGUGAAAUGCGUAGAGAUGUGGAGGAACACCGAUGGCGAAGGCAGCCCCCUGGGCUAACACUGACGCUCAGGCACGAAAGCGUGGGGAGCAAACAGG